rnacentral:rRNA from 1 species
GACGAACGCUGGCGGCGUGCCUAAUACAUGCAAGUAGAACGCAGUUGCGAACGGGUGAGUAACGCGUAGGUCACUGCCUGGUAGCGGGGGCUAACUAUUGGAAACGAUAGCUAAUACCGCAUACUACCAGAUGGACCUGCGUUGUAUUAGCUAGUUGGUGGGGUAACGGCUCACCAAGGCAACGGUACAUAACCGAGCUGGGAGGGUGAGCGGCCACACGUGGAAUGAGACACGGCCCAGAUUUCUACGGGAGGCAGCAGGAGGGGAACGUCGGCAAUGGGGGGAACCCUGACCGAGGAACGCCGCGGGAGUGAAGAAGGGUUUCGGAUCGGAAAGCUCUGUUGUUAAGGAAGCGGUACUUAACCAGAAAGGGACGGCUAACUACGUGCCAGCAGCCGCGGUAAUUC